rnacentral:rRNA from 1 species
GAUGAACGCUAGCGAUAGGCUUAACACAUGCAAGUCGAGGGGCAGCAUGAUCUUAGCUUGCUAAGGUCGAUGGCGACCGGCGCACGGGUGCGUAACGCGUAUGCAACUUGCCUUACAGAGGGGGAUAACCCGUUGAAAGACGGACUAAAACCGCAUACACUUGUAUUAUUGCAUGAUAUUACAAGGAAAUAUUUAUAGCUGUAAGAUAGGCAUGCGUCCCAUUAGCUGGUUGGUGAGGUAACGGCUCACCAAGGCGACGAUGGGUAGGGGAACUGAGAGGUUUAUCCCCCACACUGGUACUGAGACACGGACCAGACUCCUACGGGAGGCAGCAGUGAGGAAUAUUGGUCAAUGGGCGAGAGCCUGAACCAGCCAAGUCGCGUGAAGGAAGACAGUCCUAAGGAUUGUAAACUUCUUUUAUACGGGAAUAAACGG